ACUUUUUUAGUAUAAUAGUACAAGUGACUUCCAAUCACUAAGUCUUAGCUUAACCCUAAGGAAAAGUA
rnacentral:tRNA from 1 species